rnacentral:sRNA from 1 species
GGGCCUGAAGCCUGAAAUGUAAACACUUGAUUUUUUGGGGGGCAGUGGAGAGUGGCGGCGGGCUGUUGUGUUCUCCGGAUCUCACUGUGGCUUCAUUUCAGUUUGGACGGUGGAGAACUCUUUAGCCGAAUCCAGGAUCGAGGAGACCAGGCAUUCACAGAAAGAGAAGCAUCCGAAAUCAUGAAGAGCAUCGGUGAGGCCAUCCAGUAUCUGCACUCAAUCAACAUUGCCCAUCGGGAUG